CAGUAGCCGCGGUAACACGUAGGGCGCAAGCGUUAUCCGGAAUUAUUGGGCGUAAAGAGCUCGUAGGCGGUUUGUCGCGUCUGCCGUGAAAGUCCGGGGCUCAACCCCGGAUCUGCGGUGGGUACGGGCAGACUAGAGUGAUGUAGGGGAGACUGGAAUUCCUGGUGUAGCGGUGAAAUGCGCAGAUAUCAGGAGGAACACCGAUGGCGAAGGCAGGUCUCUGGGCAUUAACUGACGCUGAGGAGCGAAAGCAUGGGGAGCGAACAGGAUUAGAGACCCCGGUAGUCCCUGUCUCUUAUAC
rnacentral:rRNA from 1 species